rfam:Camelus ferus unplaced genomic scaffold scaffold629, whole genome shotgun sequence.
GAGGAUAUAGCUCAAGUGGCAGAGUGGAUGCUUAGCAGGCAUGAGGUCCUGGGUUCAAUCCCCAGGCCCUUCA